rnacentral:rRNA from 1 species
CCUACGGGGGGCUGCAGUGGGGAAUAUUGGACAAUGGGGGCAACCCUGAUCCAGCCAUGCCGCGUGUGUGAAGAAGGCCCUCGGGUUGUAAAGCACUUUCAGUGAGGAAGAACGCCUGGUGGUUAAUACCCAUCAGGAAAGACAUCACUCACAGAAGAAGCACCGGCUAACUCCGUGCCAGCAGCCGCGGUAAUACGGAGGGUGCGAGCGUUAAUCGGAAUUACUGGGCGUAAAGCGCGCGUAGGUGGCUUGAUAAGCCGGUUGUGAAAGCCCCGGGCUCAACCUGGGAACGGCAUCCGGAACUGUCAAGCUAGAGCGCAGGAGAGGAAGGUAGAAUUCCCGGUGUAGCGGUGAAAUGCGUAGAGAUCGGGAGGAAUACCAGUGGCGAAGGCGGCCUUCUGGACUGACACUGACACUGAGGUGCGAAAGCGUGGGUAGCAAACAGGAUUAGAUACCCCUGUAGUC